rnacentral:tRNA from 2 species
GCCCAGGUGGUGGAACAGGCAGACACGCUCGGCUUAAACCCGAGUGACUUCGGUCGUACGGGUUCAAGUCCCGUCCUGGGCA